rnacentral:rRNA from 1 species
AUACGUAGGUAGCGAGCGUUAUCCGGAAUUAUUGGGCGUAAAGGGUGCGUAGGCGGCCAUUUAAGUUCAUGGUGAAAGCGUGGGGCUCAACCCCAUAAAGCCAUGGAUACUGGAUGGCUGGAGUACUGGAGAGGGUAGUGGAAUUCCAUGUGUAGCGGUAAAAUGCGUAGAUAUAUGGAGGAACACCAGUGGCGAAGGCGGCUUCCUGGCACACAACUGACGCUCAUGUGCGAAAGCCAGGGCAGC